rnacentral:rRNA from 1 species
CCUACGGGUGGCAGCAGUGAGGAAUAUUGGUCAAUGGUCGGGAGACUGAACCAGCCACGCCGCGUGAGUGAGGAAGGUACAGAGUAUCGUAAACCUCUUUUGUCAGGGAACAAAGACUGGGACGCGUCUCCGGAUGCGUGUACCUGAAGAAAAAACAUCGGCUAACUCCGUGCCAGCAACCGCGGUAAUACGGGGGAUGCGAGCGUUAUCCGGUUUAUUGGGGUUUAAAGGGUGCGCAGGCGGUCUGUUAUGUCAGCGGUAAAAGCCCGGGGCUCAACCCCGGCCCGCCGUUGAAACUGGGAGUCUCGAGUUGGAGAGAGGUGUGCGGAAUGCGCGGUGUAGCGGUGAAAUGCAUAGAUAUCGGGCAGAACUCCGAUGGCGAAGGCAGCAUGCCGGCUCCACACUGACGCUGAGGCACGAAAGCGUGGGUAGCGAACAGGAUUAGAUACCCUUGUAGUC